rnacentral:rRNA from 1 species
CGAGCGGANCGAGUUAUCUGAACCUUCGGGGAACGAUAACGGCGNCNANNNNCGGACGGGUGAGUAAUGCCUAGGAAAUUGCCUUGAUGUGGGGGAUAACCAUUGGAAACGAUGGCUAAUACCGCAUAAUGCCUACGGGCCAAAGAGGGGGACCUUCGGGCCUCUCGCGUCAAGAUAUGCCUAGGUGGGAUUAGCUAGUUGGUGAGGUAAUGGCUCACCAAGGCGACGAUCCCUAGCUGGUCUGAGAGGAUGAUCAGCCACACUGGAACUGAGACACGGUCCAGACUCCUACGGGAGGCAGCAGUGGGGAAUAUUGCACAAUGGGCGCAAGCCUGAUGCAGCCAUGCCGCGUGUAUGAAGAAGGCCUUCGGNUUGUA